rnacentral:rRNA from 1 species
GAUGAACGCUGGCGGCGUGCCUAAUACAUGCAAGUCGAGCGAACGGACGAGAAGCUUGCUUCUCUGAUGUUAGCGGCGGACGGGUGAGUAACACGUGGAUAACCUACCUAUAAGACUGGGAUAACUUCGGGAAACCGGAGCUAAUACCGGAUAAUAUUUUGAACCGCAUGGUUCAAAAGUGAAAGACGGUCUUGCUGUCACUUAUAGAUGGAUCCGCGCUGCAUUAGCUAGUUGGUAAGGUAACGGCUUACCAAGGCAACGAUGCAUAGCCGACCUGAUAGGGUGAUCGGCCACAUUGGAACUGAGACACGGUCCAGACUCCUACGGGAGGCAGCAGUAGGGAAUCUUCCGCAAUGGGCGAAAGCCUGACGGAGCAACGCCGCGUGAGUGAUGAAGGUCUUCGGAUCGUAAAACUCUGUUAUUAGGGAAGAACAUAUGUGUAAGUAACUGUGCACAUCUUGACGGUACCUAAUCAGAAAGCCACGGCUAACUACGUG